rnacentral:tRNA from 2 species
GCAUCCAUAGAUCAAUUGGAUAGAUCGUUUGACUACGGAUCAAAAGGUUAGGGGUUCGAGUCCUCUUGGAUGCGCCA